rnacentral:tRNA from 1 species
GUGGGUAUAGCUCAGGGGUAGAUUAUGUGCUUAGCAUGCAUGACAUUCUGGGUUCAAUCCCCAGUACCUCCA